GACGAACGCUGGCGGCGUGCUUAACACAUGCAAGUCGAACGGAAAGGCCCUGCUUUUGUGGGGUGCUCGAGUGGCGAACGGGUGAGUAACACGUGAGUAACCUGCCCUUGACUUUGGGAUAACUUCAGGAAACUGGGGCUAAUACCGGAUAGGAGCUCCUGCUGCAUGGUGGGGGUUGGAAAGUUUCGGCGGUUGGGGAUGGACUCGCGGCUUAUCAGCUUGUUGGUGGGGGAGUGGCUUACCAAGGCUUUGACGGGUAGCCGGCCUGAGAGGGUGACCGGCCACAUUGGGACUGAGAUACGGCCCAGACUCCUACGGGAGGCAGCAGUGGGGAAUAUUGCACAAUGGGCGGAAGCCUGAUGCAGCAACGCCGCGUGCGGGAUGACGGCCUUCGGGUUGUAAACCGCUUUCGCCUGUGACGAAGCGUGAGUGACGGUAAUGUGUAAAGAAGCACCGGCUAACUACGUG
rnacentral:rRNA from 1 species